UGUGUGAUAGAUGGCCACUCCGGCUCUGACAGAUGCUGCAGAAUCACUCAGCCACGCCGGCCCGGCUGGUUAUCGGGGGCAACCCUGUAAAUCUGACAUUAUAGGCUGUUGACAGGAGAAACGGUUGUUAUCAUAACCCACGUAGUAAUGGACUGUGCUGUGGGAGCAGCAGGAAUGGCCAUUACCAUCCACGGAUCACUGGCAGAGUGGACACAGAUGAGAGAGAGAGAGACAGAAAGGGUGGAAGGAGGUGGAGGUCAAAAAGAGCCGCCAGUGCAGCCAUAUCUAUCAGGGCAACUUCAACACCAUCACAUUGUGUCUAAUAAACCUUUUGGUAACCAUA